rnacentral:tRNA from 1 species
GGCCCUGUAGUGAAGUUCAUGGUGAGUUGCAAGCUCAUUGAUGUACGUUGUUUGCGUGCCGGGGUCU